rnacentral:rRNA from 1 species
UGAGCAAUCCGCCCUUCUCUUCGGAAUAAGCGUUGGAAACGACGUCUAAUGCCGAAUACGACCUCCUUUCGCAUGAUCGGAGGUGGAAAGCUCCGGCGGAGAAGGAUGAGCUCGCGGCCUAUCAGCUAGUUGGUGUGGGUAAUGGCCCACCAAGGCGACGACGGGUAGCCGGCCUGAGAGGGUGACCGGCCACACUGGGACUGAGACACGGCCCAGACUCCGUACGGGAGCAGCAGG